UGGGGAAUAUUGGACAAUGGGCGAAAGCCUGAUCCAGCCAUGCCGCGUGUGUGAAGAAGGUCUUCGGAUUGUAAAGCACUUUAAGUUGGGAGGAAGGGCAUUAACCUAAUACGUUAGUGUUUUGACGUUACCGACAGAAUAAGCACCGGCUAACUCUGUGCCAGCAGCCGCGGUAAUACAGAGGGUGCAAGCGUUAAUCGGAAUUACUGGGCGUAAAGCGCGCGUAGGUGGUUUGUUAAGUUGGAUGUAAAAUCCCCGGGCUCAACCUGGGAACUGCAUUCAAAACUGACUGACUAGAGUAUGGUAGAGGGUGGUGGAAUUUCCUGUGUAGCGGUGAAAUGCGUAGAUAUAGGAAGGAACACCAGUGGCGAAGGCGACCACCUGGACUAAUACUGACACUGAGGUGCGAAAGCGUGGGGAGCAAACA
rnacentral:rRNA from 1 species